AACAAAUGAUAGAGAGUUAAAUGGGAAUGAACACUUCCAGUUGAACUCACUGACUAGGUUGAAUCUUUCAGGCCUUUCUUUACUUAUUUUGCAGGGUGUAUUUCCAGACUUGCCUACACUAGCAGUCCAGAAAUUGUAUGAGAUGAGUUUACUAUGUACCUGUAGCUGAUCUGUGUGGCUGCAAAAAGUUGGAGUUGCUCUGCGUGCUGUGCUAAGUAUGCAGUGACUAUUUGUCUUGGACAUCUGCGUGUCUGGUAGCCUGGCAGUUUCUUGCUCAAAGAUGAAGCUAUUUGAUGACUGGUAGAAGGAGCCGUCUAUCACCCAAACUGGUGAAUGUGGCAGGCUGGUAAACAAGCUAGAUGGCUAAGGAUUUCUUUUGCCUAGGAUAACUUCUAGGUAGCAGAAUGGCUACAGUGGAGUUUUAAAAGCUAUAUACCGGAGCCAGAUGAUCUUUGGCUGGUAUAAGGACUAGUGGGAGAAGAGUUUUUGCUGUAUAUCUGCAUCCCUUAUGCUCUUUCAUUCUCUCUUCUAUUGGGAAACUGAGGUAUACAAGGCAAAAUUAAUAAAGAACAGAAACAGAUGGACGUUUUUAUCUUGCUGAAAAUGAAGACACGCAAUUCUCUCUGCUGAUGAUGUAAUCCCAGACUGAUCUGCUGCCAGAAGUUCUGGAGUGUUGUUUAAAGUAUUUUCUUAGUACGUGGAGAAACCUUACCCAGGAAGCCAAGGAGCCAGUCGGGGUGUUCGUGCCAGGAAAACGCAGGCUGUGUGUGACCUAAAUGAUCGUCUACCAAGCUGGGAGACAGGUAUGGGAACUGCAAUGAUGCCUCAGCUCUGCUCUGGGAACCUACAAAGCAAAAGGAAACCAAAAACUUGACUAAACAAGUAUAGCAGUCCCCUCACUGUGAGAUGACCCAGAUCUAUCCUAAUGCUUGAAAGGCCUUGACUAUUGUGAGAAGAUGAAUGUUAACCUCCAUUUUUUUUUUUUAAAUGAGAGCAACAUGUCCAGCAUUAUGUUGGUUGUUGGAUAUAACUUUGAAUAUCUCGCACAUACCUCUGGUUAUGUUCUGUGAAGAAUGGUUG